rnacentral:lncRNA from 1 species
GCCAAAUUAGGGCACCUGGAUUCAGACGCAACCGCGAGAACGGAUUGUAUGGACCAUAUUAGAUUGGCAGGAAAACAAAUCUGUGGUUCCUAAUAGCUUUUACCGAGAUAAGGCUUUUAACAAAGAUAAGGCUUUGUCUUGACAUUUUGUCGAUAUGGUAUGGUCCAAAUUUUCUUAAGAGAUCAUCAUUUUCUAACUUAAUUCUAAGGUUGAAACACCCAAUGAGUAUGGAUCUGCCGCACAGUAUUUGAUAGCUGUCAAAUAAGAUAAUUUUUUAUAUUAUAUAUGGUGUGUCUUGUUUGAUGAAGAUCAUCAAAAGAAUCCUGGGAUGUUCCCAACAUCCGUAUCAUUUUUCUCGCUAUUAGAAACCUCAUAUAAUUGUGUUAUCUUUUGUUCUUUCCUCUCUUAAGCGUUUAAUUACGUAGACCGGUCAUCGCCACAAGAUUGGCGUCCUUGGAGCGUUGGGAUGGUAUAAAUGGAGCCGUAACGGUGUGGGUUCCGUCACAUAUAUUUAUUUGUUAACGGCUCAAUAAUAGCAGAAACAAUAAAUAAGAAAAGACGGAAUGAUGACGAGAUGAGGGGAGUGUUUUCAUGGCCUUAUUAAAUGGGUGUUGACGCUGGAGGGGCGUCACGCAUGUCUGAGAAGGGACGCAGGUAGCUCAGGGUGCCUUAAAUGGACCAUUUAAUUUACUUUUCCCUAGUUUUUUCUCUUCGUUUUCCGCUCUCCAUGUUAAUCUUCGGGUGGGUGUCUCUUGUGCAGCAAAGACGUAGGAACAUUCAAAGUUUUUUUUUUUUCCCUCCUUUCCUUUAUUAUGCCCAGACCGUCAAACCUGGAAAAGCUUGGUCUAAAAUAACAGACGUUAUCAUGACAUAACGUCCCUCUUAACAGUUUUGGUGGUCCAAGUUGGCAGCAUAUUUAUCAACACACACACACAACAAAAAAAAAGCAGGAUUACUGGAGAACAGUGACAGGAUUCUGAUGGCUCAUAGAAACUACAAUCCGAACCAGUUGGGUUAUUUUUCUGAAUAAAAUAUUGGAAUUACUAAAUUUCUAAUAAAGCAUGAAUAAUUAUUAUUUAUCUAGUAUUUGUUAUAGUAAUCCUUAAUUAUAUAUAUAUAUAACGAAGACAGUCAUGCAUGUUUAGGUAAUUUCUUUUGCAUUAAAAUCUCAAACUACAUUCAUCUUUUAUGAUUAUUACUUAAUAUUUUUAUUCCAAAUAACUAUUUUUCUUGUAUUAACUGAAGGCAUGCAGUCAAAGACUUG